GGGUUUAUCAUUAAGAGUACACUAAUGUAAAGGUGAAAUUUGGCUUAUUUGGUGUAAAGUCCAUACAGAAAGCAUUGUCAAAUGUGAAAUAGUGUUUGGCUUUCUUAGGGCUAUAUUUGCAUAAAUAUGUUAUUGGUAUGUGUUCCAAAAUUAUGGAAAAUUCCUAAUAAUUCUAAUAUGACUUAGGGUAUGUUAUUAAUGAUUAUAAUCGUUAUGUAAAAUUGUUGUAUGCCACAGAAGUAACCAAAAUUUCCUUUUCAACUGUGGCUUUAACAGUGGCUCUCCUAAGAUUUUUGUCAUCCACAGAUAGUUUUCUUGUUUUGAUCCUCUUCAAAAGGUGGCUUAUAAUCAGAUAUAGGACUUAGACAGGUGCUCUCGAAUGCAAGUUUCUAAUAAGCUUUGAGAUUGUGACAUCAGAAUAGAAUAAAAACUUUCAGGACUCAUUGACAGCUGAAAUGUUUGUGAAUAUCAAGCAGGACAGAAGUUAACUGUGUGGACUGAACUAAUAGAAGGCUGAAGUAACCUUUUUGACUUUGCUUAAAAUGUUGCUGAUCCUGUUUUGUUUUUCAGAAUCAAGAAAAACUUUUUUUUAAGCUACUUGUAGCUUUUCACAAUUGAGUAAGGUAUACUCCUGUAAACAAAAUUUGGAGCACAUUCGUCUCUCUCUACCUGAUUUCUCCAGAAUUUGAAAACUAGUUGACAACUUUGUGCCCUGUCUUCCAGUUUAACAUGGAGCUUUCAGUCUGUAAUGCAGAGGAUCCUCUAGGGUAUAACUCCACAAGGCAGAAGACAAGUUUACUGUGGACAAAAAAAUGGGCUAGAAUGUCUUCAGCUUCUCAGGCCCUUAAUAGGGCUGAUGAUGGAUGACUCUACUGGAGAAAAGGAAGACAAAGAGGUUUCAGAUCAUCAAUAAAGCAGCUGACUCUCAAGAAAUGGCUGGAAAUCAUAUUUAAAGUCGAUCUUAAAUGAAUUUGAAAAAAAUGCACAUAAAGAUCGUUACCUGCCUCGUUUGGACAUAUCAGACCUAUGAAUAUUUAUGUAGAAACAAGAGCUUAUAAUUAUCACAAAAAGAAAAUGAACACUACUUUUCCCAUUUAGAAAAAUAUGAAAGGCAAAUUUUAAAUGAAAACUCUCUUGGGACAUUUGAUAUGUCAUGAACUAUCAAGACCAUGACUAUUUUUUAAUAGCUUUUGAAAUCUUUCUCGAAAAUGUCUCUCUUCUUUUCUCCAUUCUUAUUUAUUCCUUAGUUUUGACUUUAAUAUAUUUAUUAUUCUCAGUUGCUUCUGUAAGCCUUAACUUUUAUCAAAUUUGUAAAAUAGCAGAGAAUAGAAUUUUGAUGUCAUUCAAAUGCCUCACCUAGUACUAUGCACAUAGUAAACACACAACUAAUACAACUGCACUUGGAUUCAAAGAUCCUUCAAUGGUGGAGAAUAGAAAAGCUAUAGGGCAGGAUUUCUAGUCUGCACAGAGCUGAGCACAGAGGAGCAGUGCUGUGUCAAGGGCAAGACUCUCACAAGUGGCUGGAGCAAACAGAGAGGAAAGACUCUUCCCCUAGAACCUAAGUAGCCAGUUAUUCAGGCCCAAAGGACCCCUCUGUUGCUAAAUCAGGGAUCAAGCCUUAAAUAGGUUAAUUUUUUCCUUAUGUGAACAUACAAGGGUAAGCAGACUUACCAUUCUCAUCAAAAGGAGAUGGAAAAGGGACAUAGAGGUCUGACAUCUGCAUAAGCUACCUAGCUACCUGCAAUCUAGCUGGUACAACAGCUAUCUUUAAUUUUUAGUAAGGGAGCUCAAGUAAGUUGCCCUAGAUGAAAAAACCAGUAAGGAGAAAGCUUAAAUAACUUGCCCAAGAUGACACAGCUAGCACAGGGCAGUGCUUGAGUAACUUCCCGAGGUUACACAGGUAGUGAGAGGUGGAAUUGCUAGGUUGUUCAGCACCACACUUUUCUCCCCUCUACCUCAAUGGUUCCUGGCUCUGUGUGGGUGUCUCCUAGCAGAUAAAAUGGCCCUCUUCCAUUUACAUUUGUCUUAUCCUUAUAUCUUCAAAAUGGUUCGUAAGACAAAAAGAGCCUGCCCUUGAUAGACUGCCUCCCACUGCAGCAAGUCUAGCACUGAGCAGCCCUAAGACUAGAAUGCCAACUUCGUAGAGGGAGGAUAGAUAGGAAAGGCUCCUGAGACCUGGGGCCUGGGAGAAGGAAGUAGUAGGUUCAAGAUUAAGAGGAGGUGAGUGAUACGUGUGGCUCAGACAUAAAAUGUAAUGCCCACCAAAAAACUCAGUCAUCAAUCUAAGUAAUAUUUACUGAAAUGAUUUUUAAAAUCACAGUAUGAGAAACCCGUGAAGAACAAAAUAUCAAACUUGUAAAUAAAGACAGGAUCCGGCAGGGCCAGUGUGGUGGUGAGGCAAGUGAGGCUAAGUUAUGUAAAUGAAGGGUUGGACCCUAUCUUAAUUUUAAACUGCUGAAAUUUUAUUUAUCAUGGGCUUUUUUGGCAUUUUGAUUGUUAAAAUAAUUCAUUAUAUUGUUUAUCUUGAUUACUGCAUUUUGGCAUCCCCAUAAAUUUUGUGCCUGAGCUGACUGCCUCACUCACUUCAUUCUAACGUUGGCUUUAGGGUGAAGGCUGGGGAGCCAAUCUGAACCUGACAAAUAGUCUGGGCCUCACAAAAGAAAGGAGAAAGGUGGGAGCCUCACUAAGAAUUUCAUGCCGGGCUCCUCUUGGCACAUUAUUUUGUUUGUUCCUGACGGCCACCCUCCAAGGCAGCUAUUAGUAUUAUCAUUUAUGUAGGAAACUGAGUGCCAGUAUUACAAGGGUAGAAAGUGACUGAGCUGGGUUUCAGCCAAGGCCUAUCUGCCUCUAGAUCCUGGCAAUUCCCACUACUGGCUGAUACGUGCCUAAUAGUUUAUAACCAAAAUUCUUGACAUUUUCUCCACCUUUCAAGUCACAAGCUCCACCACAUGAAGACAGAAAUCACAAUGGGAAAUUUCAUUUGCUUGUCUACUCUUGAAGCUGCGUGAAAUUUUAAACCAUAGCUCUAUUUUCCUGAUGUCCUUAAAUUACUAUUCUUCCCAAGUUAUUCAUAUUUUACGUCUAGUAUGAGGCUCAGACAGUAAAAGUGUGAAUGCAAUGCACCCAUUUUACAUGUAUCAUUCAUUACUAUGCUCGAUUGGUGUGCCCUUUGCCGCACCACAGCAUAUUUAGAACAAAACAGAUCAGUCGGUUGGGGGGAUUCAGUAACACUCUACACUUGUAUCCAGUCAAUUGUUGAUGGUAAUCCAAUCUUGGAUGUGGUGAAAAGAGGGUGGGCUUAGGGUCUAAGUGAAAUUGACUGCCAGUGUGUGACUCUGAAUCAUUUAUUUAUAUCUCUGAGGUUUUCGUUCCCUUUUUUAUAAAAAUUUUAUUAAAUAAGUUUUCAUUUUUCCGUAAAACUAAGACUGAAGGAAAGUCUGCCUUUCUUAAAGUCAGCAAGGUCUACUGAUAAAGAAGAUACCUUGUAAUCUCUACUUUCAUGACAGAAAUCCAGGCCUAAUCAAUACUUUUUUCUAUUAUCACUGUAAUUAAGGCAUAAGGCUUUCCCUGAUAUACAAAUGAUUAAACCUCUCAAUAAACAACUUCA
rnacentral:lncRNA from 1 species